UUCACACAGGUAGAAAGGAGAGCUUUAUUUCUCAUAAAGGAUUGCAGCCUGCAGGGUGAGCAUUCUGCAUGGCUGGGAAGUGUAGCCUCCGGCCAGAAGCCAGAAACCUGCACUUUGAGGGUGGUAAGAAUAAGACAGAGAUUUAUGCUGAAGGAGGUGGCCAAAUAUACAUAUUCAAUAAGCUACAGAAGGAUCCAUGAAUAUUUAUGAGAGGAGCAACAUGAGCAUGAGCAAUUGAGCUUCAUGCCUCUUCAUGGGUCCCAUGUACAAAAAUGGUGGCAUUAGCAUAAUCCCAGGGUGGAGACUUCAGCCCACUGACAUCAAAAGGUGAAGAAGAGGACACAAAACCCUCACUGAGCAUUCUCCAUAGACUGGCCAGAACCACUCCAUUGUAGUCUCUUAAAAAAGAAUGCUGGUCAGCUGUUGUGUCAAAACUGCAAAAGAAAGUUUUGUUGUGUUAAAACUGAAAUUGCUGUGUCAGGCAGUUGGUUGAUACCAGUGGUGGAGCAAGUCUUUCACAAGCACUGGUGCCCGUUAAGUCCUUAGGGAAGAAAGCCCUAGUGGUGGUUAGUGAGGGAGGGGCAUAACGAGGCGUGUCCGAUCUCCCAUCCUGCUAUGACUGAGAACUCAGUUUUAAGAUUUCUCUGGGAUCCCCUUAACCAAGAGAGGGUCCAUUCAGUCAGUUGCGGGGCUUAGAAUUUUAUUUUUAUUUCUCAAAUUUUACAAUACCUGGCUUCAUGUUUUCCUGUGCACCAGGGGCAAGUAACUGGUAACAUCAGUGCCUUAAUGCUAUAGCAAGACUGGGCAAAGGGAAAGUACAUUUCUUAGGGGCAGAUUUCCGGCAAAUUUUUCCUUAAUAGGUCCCUUAAGGAGAGUCACCUCAUGAUCACAAGAUGGCUGCCACACUUCCAGGCAUCGCAUCUGAGGAAGAAUUAGACCCUUUGCUUGAUAUCUUUCAUUUACCCUCUAGGUAUUCUCCCCAUUCUUCUUUACCCUAUGUGAUGAUUAAUAUUAAGUGUCAACUUGAUUGGAUUGAAGGAUGCAAAGUAUUGUUUCUGGAUGUGUCUGUGAAGGUGUUGCCAGAGGAGAUUAACAUUUGAAUCAGUGGAUUAGGAGAGGCAGACCUAUCCUCAAUGUGGGUGGGCACAAAUCCAAUCAUCUGUCAAUGCAGCUAGAAAAAGCAGGCAGAAGAAGGUAGAAUAAGACAGUUUGCUGAGUCUUCUGGCUUUCUUCUUUUUCCCAUGCUGGAUGCUUCCUGCCCUUGAAUAUCAGACUUCAGGUUCUUCAGCCUUUGGACUCUUGGACGUACACCAGUGGUUUUGCCAGGGGCUCUCAGGCCUUUGGCCCCAGAUUGAAGGCUGCACGGUCAGCUUUACUUUUGAGGCUUUGGGACUCGGACUGAGCCACUACUGGCUUCCUUGCUCUUCAGCUUGCAGAGAGCCUAUCUUGGAACUUCAUCUUGUGACUCGAUGAAGUAAAUCUCCUGUCAAAGGAUUGGAGAGAAGGAACCAACCGUCUUUCACUCACCCACUUAGAACCUUCUGGAAGCCCUGACUGCCUUGCUGUAAGGUCGGCUGAAUGGAAAGAGACAAAGGCUGUUGGCCCUGAUAACAGAGGACAUGGAGAACACUGACGGGCCAGCACAGAGAGGUGUCAAACCUACAUUGCAGCCUGAAGGAUGUCUUCACUUCCUCCUGCUCCUUCGCCUUGUAUCCUUCAUAGAUUUUUCCCGCAAUAAAACUUUGCAUAUCUAAUAU
rnacentral:lncRNA from 10 species